UGGGGAAUAUUGCACAAUGGGCGCAAGCCUGAUGCAGCCAUGCCGCGUGUAUGAAGAAGGCCUUCGGGUUGUAAAGUACUUUCAGCGGGGAGGAAGGCGAUAAGGUUAAUAACCUCAUCGAUUGACGUUACCCGCAGAAGAAGCACCGGCUAACUCCGUGCCAGCAGCCGCGGUAAUACGGAGGGUGCAAGCGUUAAUCGGAAUUACUGGGCGUAAAGCGCACGCAGGCGGUCUGUCAAGUCGGAUGUGAAAUCCCCGGGCUCAACCUGGGAACUGCAUUCGAAACUGGCAGGCUAGAGUCUUGUAGAGGGGGGUAGAAUUCCAGGUGUAGCGGUGAAAUGCGUAGAGAUCUGGAGGAAUACCGGUGGCGAAGGCGGACCCCUGGACAAAGACUGACGCUCAGGUGCGAAAGCGUGGGGAGCAAACAGG
rnacentral:rRNA from 1 species